GACGAACGCUGGCGGCGCGCUUAACACAUGCAAGUCGAGCGAGAACCCAGGCUUCGGCCUGGGGGAAAGCGGCGAACGGGUGAGUAACACGUGAGUAAUCUGCCCUCGACAUCGGGAUAGCCCGGGGAAACCCGGAUUAAUACCGAAUGGCCCAUCAGCUUUUCGGAGCGGAUGGAAAAGGUAGCUUCGGCCUCCGGUCGAGGAGGAGCUCGCGGCGGAUUAGCUUGUUGGUGAGGUAACGGCUCACCAAGGCUCCGAUCCGUAGCUGGUCUGAGAGGACGAUCAGCCACACUGGGACUGAGACACGGCCCAGACUCCUACGGGAGGCAGCAGUGGGGAAUCUUGCGCAAUGGGCGAAAGCCUGACGCAGCGACGCCGCGUGAGGGAAGAAGGCCUUCGGGUUGUAAACCUCUUUCAGGAGGGACGAAGCCACUCGGGUUAAUAGCCCAGAGGGUGACGGUACCUCCAGAAGAAGCCCCGGCUAACUACGUGCCAGCAGCCGCAGUAACAC
rnacentral:rRNA from 1 species